CACGUAGGGGGGCGAGCGUUGUCCGGAUUUAUUGGGCGUAAAGAGCGUGUAGGCGGCUUGACAAGUCUGCUGUGAAAACUCGAGGCUCAACCUCGAGCUGUCGGCGGAAACUGUCAGGCUAGAGUCCGGAAGAGGAGAGUGGAAUUCCUGGUGUAGCGGUGAAAUGCGCAGAUAUCAGGAAGAACACCUAUGGCGAAGGCAGCUCUCUGGGACGGUACUGACGCUGAGACGCGAAAGCGUGGGGAGCGAACAGG
rnacentral:rRNA from 1 species